rnacentral:rRNA from 1 species
CCUACGGGAGGCAGCAGUAGGGAAUCUUCCACAAUGGGCGAAAGCCUGAUGGAGCAACGCCGCGUGGGUGAAGAAGGUCUUCGGAUCGUAAAACCCUGUUGUUAGAGAAGAAAGUGCGUGAGAGUAACUGUUCACGUUUCGACGGUAUCUAACCAGAAAGCCACGGCUAACUACGUGCCAGCAGCCGCGGUAAUACGUAGGUGGCAAGCGUUAUCCGGAUUUAUUGGGCGUAAGGGGAACGCAGGCGGUCUUUUAAGUCUGAUGGGAAAGCCUUCGGCUUAACCGGAGUAGUGCAUUGGAAACUGGGAGACUUGAGUGCAGAAGAGGAGAGUGGAACUCCAUGUGUAGCGGUGAAAUGCGUAGAUAUAUGGAAGAACACCAGUGGCGAAAGCGGCGCUCUGGUCUGUAACUGACGCUGAGGUUCGAAAGCGUGGGUAGCAAACAGGAUUAGAUACCCCUGUAGUC